CACGUAGGGUGCGAGCGUUGUCCGGAAUUAUUGGGCGUAAAGAGCUCGUAGGCGGUGUGUCGCGUCGGCCGUGAAAACCUGCAGCUUAACUGUGGGCUUGCGGUCGAUACGGGCAUCACUGGAGUUCGGCAGGGGAGACUGGAAUUCCUGGUGUAGCGGUGAAAUGCGUAGAUAUCGGGAGGAACACCGAUGGCGAAGGCGGGUCUCUGGGCAGUAACUGACGCUGAGGAACGAAAGCGUGGGUAGCAAACAGG
rnacentral:rRNA from 1 species